AUUAUCUCACACACUCACACACCUAUUUAAGGCACUCUUAUCUGCUCUUCAGUGUGAAGUCUUGAUUUGCCCCGGUGAUCAUUUCUGAGCGUUUUCUGUUAUUCUACCUGCCUGUGUAUUGACCUGGACUGUUUAUUUCGUUUUCUGAUUCUUGCUGCCAGCCCCGACCGCUUUAGCCUGUUCAUCUACUGUGUUUGCUCGCCGCCGGCCCCGAUUCUCUGCUCGUUCUCUGGAUUACGUCUACUGUUGAUUAUCCUAUACUACUACUGUUUACUGCCCUGCCUUGUACUGCUUUUGUCUAAUAAACUGCAGAUGGAUCCUCAAGCUACUGACUCGUCACAAUUAGCACAAACAUGAGUGCAAAUUUGGACAAGUGGUAGAGCUAGAGGGUUUGAGUUAGAGACUCCAAAUGUGGUGUAAUUCAUGUUCAGACUGUCCUUUAUCUCUGUGCCAAGUUUCACAACUUUUACCAUAUGGUUCUAUGGGCUGCCAUAGACAUAGAAGAAGAAGAAGAAGAAGAAGAAGAAGAAGAACACUACCAGAUAAAGGGGCCAAGCACCCAGGGUGAAAAAAAAUGAACGACCUGAAGAGGGGAUAUCAAAAGCAGGGAAAACUGCCCCCAUAUCCUCACUUGCAAAUCGCACCCUGGAUUUAAUAUUUUAGGAGAAACCAACAAAAAUUUAUUUUUUUUCUUCAGGAUGGAAUGUUUUUAACGUGUCCAUGGGCUGGGGAAAGCAGACGUCAGCACCAGGACUGAGUAAGCUGCAGAAGAUCCUGUCAAUGGGUUUCCAGAACAAGUUCUACAACGCCACUGAUACAGCUCCUGAUUCAGCAUCAGCAGGCGGGCAGAAUGAGUACAGGAUCAAUGUGUCCAGUGACACGCCGCACUGGUAUGUCAUGGACUACCUGACCCGAGUCAGUCAGUACUACGGCAUCCGUUCAGCCUCUGUGGACGACCUUGACGAGUGUAAGACAAAUGAGGCUCCGUGUUCAAAAACAGCCCUGUGUGUCAACACCUACGGGGGCUACAGGUGUGUGUGCAAUGGCACUGAUCUAAAGGAAGAAUCACAGUCAUGCAUAUUAGGUAAGAGCAUCCCCAGAAAACAGUGUUCAUGCUCAGUGUGA
rnacentral:lncRNA from 1 species